UGGCGAACGGGUGAGUAACGCGUGAGGAACCUGCCUCAAAGAGGGGGACAACAGUUGGAAACGACUGCUAAUACCGCAUAAGCCCACGGGUCGGCACCGACCUGAGGGAAAAGGAGCAAUCCGCUUUGAGAUGGCCUCGCGUCCGAUUAGCUAGUUGGUGAGGUAAUGGCCCACCAAGGCGACGAUCGGUAGCCGGACUGAGAGGUUGAACGGCCACAUUGGGACUGAGACACGGCCCAG
rnacentral:rRNA from 1 species